AGUGAACGCUGGCGGCAGGCCUAACACAUGCAAGUCGAACGGCAGCACAGCAGUAGCAAUACUGUGGGUGGCGAGUGGCGGACGGGUGAGGAAUACAUCGGAAUCUGCCUAGUCGUGGGGGGAUAACGUAGGGAAACUUACGCUAAUACCGCAUACGACCUACGGGUGAAAGCGGGGGAUCGCAAGACCUCGCGCGAUUAGAUGAGCCGAUGUCCGAUUAGCUAGUUGCGGGGUAAUGGCCCACCAAGGCGACGAUCGGUAGCUGGUCUGAGAGGAUGAUCAGCCACACUGGAACUGAGACACGGUCCAGACUCCUACGGGAGGCAGCAGUGGGGAAUAUUGGACAAUGGGCGCAAGCCUGAUCCAGCCAUGCCGCGUGGGUGAAGAAGGCCUUCGG
rnacentral:rRNA from 1 species